GGUUAAGCGACUAAGCGUACACGGUGGAUGCCCUGGCAGUCAGAGGCGAUGAAGGGCGUGCUAAUCUGCGAUAAGCGCCGGUAAGGUGAUAUGAACCGUUAUAACCGGCGAUACCCGAAUGGGGAAACCCAGUGUGAUUCGUCACACUAUCAUUAACUGAAUCCAUAGGUUAAUGAGGCGAACCGGGGGAACUGAAACAUCUAAGUACCCCGAGGAAAAGAAAUCAACCGAGAUUCCCCCAGUAGCGGCGAGCGAACGGGGAGGAGCCCAGAGCCUGAAUCAGCAUGUGUGUUAGUGGAAGCGUCUGGAAAGGCGCGCGAUACAGGGUGACAGCCCCGUACACAAAAGCGCAUGUGCUGUGAGCUCGAUGAGUAGGGCGGGACACGUGGUAUCCUGUCUGAAUAUGGGGGGACCAUCCUCCAAGGCUAAAUACUCCUGACUGACCGAUAGUGAACCAGUACCGUGAGGGAAAGGCGAAAAGAACCCCGGCGAGGGGAGUGAAAAAGAACCUGAAACCGUGUACGUACAAGCAGUGGGAGCCUCUUUUAUGGGGUGACUGCGUACCUUUUGUAUAAUGGGUCAGCGACUUAUAUUCUGUAGCAAGGUUAACCGUAUAGGGGAGCCGGAGGGAAACCGAGUCUUAACCGGGCGUUAAGUUGCAGGGUAUAGACCCGAAACCCGGUGAUCUAGCCAUGGGCAGGUUGAAGGUUGGGUAACACUAACUGGAGGACCGAACCGACUAAUGUUGAAAAAUUAGCGGAUGACCUGUGGCUGGGGGUGAAAGGCCAAUCAAACCGGGAGAUAGCUGGUUCUCCCCGAAAGCUAUUUAGGUAGCGCCUCGUGAAUUCAUCUCCGGGGGUAGAGCACUGUUUCGGCUAGGGGGCCAUCCCGGCUUACCAACCCGAUGCAAACUGCGAAUACCGGAGAAUGUUAUCACGGGAGACACACGGCGGGUGCUAACGUCCGUCGUGAAGAGGGAAACAACCCAGACCGCCAGCUAAGGUCCCAAAGUCAUGGUUAAGUGGGAAACGAUGUGGGAAGGCCCAGACAGCCAGGAUGUUGGCUUAGAAGCAGCCAUCAUUUAAAGAAAGCGUAAUAGCUCACUGGUCGAGUCGGCCUGCGCGGAAGAUGUAACGGGGCUAAACCAUGCACCGAAGCUGCGGCAGCGACGCUGAUGCGUUGUUGGGUAGGGGAGCGUUCUGUAAGCCUGCGAAGGUGGCCUGUGAGGGUUGCUGGAGGUAUCAGAAGUGCGAAUGCUGACAUAAGUAACGAUAAAGCGGGUGAAAAGCCCGCUCGCCGGAAGACCAAGGGUUCCUGUCCAACGUUAAUCGGGGCAGGGUGAGUCGACCCCUAAGGCGAGGCCGAAAGGCGUAGUCGAUGGGAAACGGGUUAAUAUUCCCGUACUUGGUGUUACUGCGAAGGGGGGACGGAGAAGGCUAUGUUGGCCGGGCGACGGUUGUCCCGGUUUAAGCGUGUAGGUGUGUGUUCCAGGUAAAUCCGGUUCACUUUAACACUGAGGCGUGACGACGAGGCACUACGGUGCUGAAGCAACAAAUGCCCUGCUUCCAGGAAAAGCCUCUAAGCAUCAGGUAACAUCAAAUCGUACCCCAAACCGACACAGGUGGUCAGGUAGAGAAUACCAAGGCGCUUGAGAGAACUCGGGUGAAGGAACUAGGCAAAAUGGUGCCGUAACUUCGGGAGAAGGCACGCUGACAUGUAGGUGAAGUGAUUUACUCAUGGAGCUGAAGUCAGUCGAAGAUACCAGCUGGCUGCAACUGUUUAUUAAAAACACAGCACUGUGCAAACACGAAAGUGGACGUAUACGGUGUGACGCCUGCCCGGUGCCGGAAGGUUAAUUGAUGGGGUCAGCGCAAGCGAAGCUCCUGAUCGAAGCCCCGGUAAACGGCGGCCGUAACUAUAACGGUCCUAAGGUAGCGAAAUUCCUUGUCGGGUAAGUUCCGACCUGCACGAAUGGCGUAAUGAUGGCCAGGCUGUCUCCACCCGAGACUCAGUGAAAUUGAACUCGCUGUGAAGAUGCAGUGUACCCGCGGCAAGACGGAAAGACCCCGUGAACCUUUACUAUAGCUUGACACUGAACAUUGAGCCUUGAUGUGUAGGAUAGGUGGGAGGCUUUGAAGUGUGGACGCCAGUCUGCAUGGAGCCGACCUUGAAAUACCACCCUUUAAUGUUUGAUGUUCUAACGUGGACCCGUUACCCGGGUUGCGGACAGUGUCUGGUGGGUAGUUUGACUGGGGCGGUCUCCUCCUAAAGAGUAACGGAGGAGCACGAAGGUUGGCUAAUCCUGGUCGGACAUCAGGAGGUUAGUGCAAUGGCAUAAGCCAGCUUGACUGCGAGCGUGACGGCGCGAGCAGGUGCGAAAGCAGGUCAUAGUGAUCCGGUGGUUCUGAAUGGAAGGGCCAUCGCUCAACGGAUAAAAGGUACUCCGGGGAUAACAGGCUGAUACCGCCCAAGAGUUCAUAUCGACGGCGGUGUUUGGCACCUCGAUGUCGGCUCAUCACAUCCUGGGGCUGAAGUAGGUCCCAAGGGUAUGGCUGUUCGCCAUUUAAAGUGGUACGCGAGCUGGGUUUAGAACGUCGUGAGACAGUUCGGUCCCUAUCUGCCGUGGGCGCUGGAGAACUGAGGGGGGCUGCUCCUAGUACGAGAGGACCGGAGUGGACGCAUCACUGGUGUUCGGGUUGUCAUGCCAAUGGCACUGCCCGGUAGCUAAAUGCGGAAGAGAUAAGUGCUGAAAGCAUCUAAGCACGAAACUUGCCCCGAGAUGAGUUCUCCCUGAGACUUAGAGUCUCCUGAAGGAACGUUGAAGACGACGACGUUGAUAGGCCGGGUGUGUAAGCGCAGCGAUGCGUUGAGCUAACCGGUACUAAUGAACCGUGAGGCUUAACCUU
rnacentral:rRNA from 1 species